GUCAAUUUCUCUCUAACCAGACAACUCUUGCAAUGUUGUUUUAUUUAUGGUUUUUGGCUAGACAAUUUGUUCAUAAGCAAUGGAAAUUCACUAUCAAAGAUAUGGAGUGGUUACUGCAGUACCUGACGAUGAAAGAAAACCAAGUUCAUCUUUUGUUGCACAAGUCGCAUGGCAAGGAAAACAUCAAAGUCUAUCAAAUCUCACAAUUCAAUUAUAAUAUUAUUUAAUGCCUUAUUUCAUUUUAUUAUCAACAUCUUAGACUAUAGAUAGAGUCGUAAUCUCAACAUCGAUGAAGUUAUAAAAACAAAAAAUAUAAAAGAUAUAAUUAUUGGAUCCUAGUAAAAAUUUAAAUGGCAACACGUGUUAAGGCAUAUUGCAUAGAGUUUUUGCUAGUGCAAGAACUCACUCCUCCUUGCAUGGCGUUUGUCAUUUGUGUACACUCUUGGGUGAGAUACUCAUAUCAUAAGGUGGCUCCAACCUAACAUCUACACAUAUGUUGUCAAUGCACUUAUAAACUAAAGGAAACAAGUUGUAAAUGUCUGGACAAUCUUUUGCAGUUUGACAUUUAAUAAUUAUUACUGCAAUGAAAGAAAAGAAUAAAAUAAUAUUACUUAAACGAGAUAAAACAUUUUGUGCGAGCUACAAAUUAAAGAAGGAAUUUUGGAAAGGGUGAAAAAAAAAAAGGCUUACUUUCCUCCCCCCCAGCAACAAGAAAUAAGGAGAUAAAUAAAAUCAUAGCAUAAACAAAGUUGAGAGUUCCAGCCAUAUUUUUUCUAUAUUG
rnacentral:lncRNA from 1 species